UACGUAGGGUGCAAGCGUUGUCCGGAAUUAUUGGGCGUAAAGAGCUCGUAGGCGGUCUGUCGCGUCGGCUGUGAAAACUCGGGGCUCAACUCCGAGCUUGCAGUCGAUACGGGCAGGCUAGAGUGCGGCAGGGGGAGACUGGAAUUCCUGGUGUAGCGGUGAAAUGCGCAGAUAUCAGGAGGAACACCGAUGGCGAAGGCAGGUCUCUGGGCAUUAACUGACGCUGAGGAGCGAAAGCAUGGGGAGCGAACAGG
rnacentral:rRNA from 1 species